rnacentral:rRNA from 1 species
CCUACGGGACACAGCAGUAGGGAAUUUUCGUCAAUGGGCGCAAGCCUGAACGAGCAAUGCCGCGUGAACGAGGAAGGUCUUCGGAUCGUAAAGCUCUGUUGCGGGGGAAAAAAGGCAGCAUCAGGAAAUGGGUGCUGACUGAUGGUGCCCCGCCAGAAAGUCACGGCUAACUACGUGCCAGCAGCUGCGGUAAUACGUAGGUGGCGAGCGUUAUCCGGAAUGAUUGGGCGUAAAGGGUGCGCAGGCGGUCCUGCAAGUCUGGAGUGAAACGCAUGAGCUCAACUCAUGCAUGGCUUUGGAAACUG